AGCGAACGCUGGCGGCAGGACUAACACAUGCAAGUCGAACGAGUGGCGGACGGGUGAGUAACACGUGAGAACGUGCCUUUAGGUUAGGAAUAACUCAGGGAAACUUGUGCUAAUACCGAAUGCCUUUAGAGCGGCCCGCGUCUGAUUAGCUAGUUGGUGAGGUAAAGGCUCACCAAGGCGACUAUCAGUAGCUGGUCUGAGAGGAUGAUCAGCCACAUUGGGACUGAGACACGGCCCAAACUCCUACGGGAGGCAGCAGUGGGGAAUCUUGCGCAAUGGGCGAAAGCCUGAUGCAGCCAUGCCGCGUGUAUGAAGAAGGCCUUCGGGUUGUAAAGUACUUUCAGCGGGGAGGCGUUACCCGCAGAAGAAGCACCGGCUAACUCCGUGCCAGCAGCCGCGGUAAUAC
rnacentral:rRNA from 1 species